UUCGGUUUCUGAUGUUUAGUCUGCUUAUCAACAGACACUAUUGAUGAAUUUUGCAGAUAUGAUUGGCUAGCAAAGAAGAAUCUUCGAGCAGGAUACUUUGUAUGGGCAAUGACUGCCUAUGGUGUAGGUCUUCUGGUCACGUAUGUCGCCUUGAACCUGAUGGAUGGACAUGGGCAACCUGCUUUGCUUUACAUCGUUCCUUUCACUCUUGGCACCUUUAUUACAUUGGGAAAGAAGAGAGGUGAUCUUGAAACUCUGUGGACAAGAGGAGAACCGGAAAGACCUUGCCCGCAUAUGCAACUUCGGCCCUUACAACAAAAGGAAUAAUGGUAAUAAACCAUGAGAAAAAUAAGUACCUCAAACUGUAUGCCAGUUUUGGCUAUUAGUACAUAAAUCAGCUGAGAAGGUUUUACCCUUGUAGGUUGUAGAGAAGCAUGUAAUAUUUGCAGCAUUGAUAACACUGUAGAAAUUGACCUGUAACAGAUAGCUUUUAAUCCAGUUCAGCUAAUUAUUUAUAAAUUUACAGUUGAUUGUAAAACCCUGUGAUUAGAUGAUCACAAAGUAACUGAUGAGUUCGAGAUU